rnacentral:misc_RNA from 1 species
GCAGUCUGCCGGCGAUCAGCGGUGGGGAGGUGCAGGUGUGCAGUGACCGGCAGUAGCGUGGAGUGACCGACCCGGUGACUGAGAGAGCGAGACAGGGCCGCGGGGAGGGGAGUGAGGUGACAGUGGGAGCCGACAUGCGAAGGCUGCGGCUGUGAUGCGUUCAUCACGGAGACACAGGAUCCUGGCAAUGGGUCCGGCCGCGCUGUGGCUCGGCUCGCUGGCCGCCGCAGCCGCCGAUGACGUCACCGGUGACCCCGAUGACGUCACGGGCGGGUCGGCGGCGGCGGCGGCGUGCGCGGGCGACUGGAGCUGCGAGCCGCCGCCCGACUUCCGUCUGCUGGUACCGCCGCCGCCGGUACCGGAGUACAUGCAGGAGUACGUGGAGCGGCUGCACCAGGCCAGUGGCGAGUGUCUGCUCUGCACGUGGGCGGCCGCCAACGACUCGGACCCGCUCACAGGACCCGAGGAGGCGGCCGGCGGCUCGUCCUCGUGGAUCCCCGUGCUGGUGGCCGUGGCGCUCCUCUCGGCUCUAGUCGGCGCCGUGGUCAUGGUAGUACUCAUCCGGUGUCGCAGAUGGCGGGUACUUCCAUCAAAAGGUCUGUGCCCGCUGGACUCUACCGACCAGGCCAAGGAGAGCCCGCCGCCGCCGCCCGCCUCCAAGCCGCCCGACGACGGCUCGGCGGUGGCCGGGGCGGGGGCGGGGGCGGCGCCGGGCGGCUGGGCGAUGCCCUGGCGGCGCUCCGAGCGGCGGCCGCCGGCGCCCGGUGAGCACGGCUUCGGCGGCGGCCCGUACUCGAUGCCCGACCAGGACAGUGUGGUGUACGCCGAGCUGAACAGUGUGGGCGCCAGCCGCGCCGCCGCCCAGCAGCCCUACCUGCUCAACACGUAUAGCGAGAUCGGCGAGCCGCGCCGGCUGAUGCCCGACGGCACGUACGAGAACGCCGGCUACCUGGUGGACGGGCCGGCCGGCGGCGAGUCGGCCGGCUCCGACCCCAGCAGCGCCUACUACUCAGAUGCCUCGGGCGGAGAGCCGACGCGCCUCAGCCGACGGGGCCGACCGCGCGCCGGCGCCGCGCCCCCGGCGGCCGUGCGCCGGCGGCUGCCGCUGGCCACGCGACCGGCCGAGCCGCCGCUGCAGCCGCUGCCGCCCGACGACCCACGUCUCCUACACGCGGCCAUCGUCGAGCCGAUGUGCAGCUACGACCUGCCGGCCGAGGCGGCGCCGGACGCCGACUCCGGACCGCGCUCUGGGGACUCCGGGAACCGCUCCGGCUCGGAGCCGGCCAGCCCCGAGCGGCGGCGGCCGCCGCGGCUACCGCUGCCCCGGCUGCCCGGCCGGCGGCCGCGGCCCGCCCCCAAGCGCACCUCUCCGGACCGCCCGCCGCCGCCGCCGCCGCAGCUCUACUGCUCCGAGUACGUGUGACGCCGCCAGGGCUGCAAUAGGAGGACGGGACACCGUGGUGCGGACGCCCAGACGCCCCCAAGGACCGUCUGAGGCGCGUGAUACGGACGUGAUAGGCCGGCGGCGCGCCCCGUCCGCCGGCCGGGCUGUGAUGGUGUCUCUAGUCAACCGUCUGUGUCGGCCGGGCUCAGAGCCAGCGCCGUGGUCCCGCGGACCGUCCCACCAGCGGGACCACCCACCCGCGGGUCACAGACGGCUGGAAGGCGCAGACCGACCCAGUGGGGAGGAGAGCGGACCCAGGAUACCCUGAGAGCGGACCCAGGAGCCCCAGGAAUCGGACUCUGACUGCACCAGGACGCAGCCCGAUCAACCAGGGUUCCGGAGGAUGCAGCUGAGCUGUGUCUGUCUGAGGCUGUGGGCGGCAGACAGCUGGUUCACUACCGUCGAGCGCACAGAUACGCCAGUCGCAGUGACCCCACGGGUGACCUGUGACCUGCACCGGAGGGUCAUCAGCAAGGAGCCGCCUCCCAAUCCGAUCCGGGGUUAUAUGAAAUUCUGGCCAGCCGCGAGAACAGAGGACACAGUCCAAGGUGCUAGGGAGAUCCGGGAGCAGUCCUGGAACAGGAGAGGCCUCAUGGGGGAGCCUCAGAGUCUAGGAUUCCGAUAUCCUGAGGGAGAGUUCUUUCAAUGCAGUCCCCUUAGCUGGUGGCUGCACACCCGUUCUGAUGCAAUCGUAUUUCAGAAGAGAUAGCCGUGCCAAACACCUUUGUAAACAGCCUCUGGCAGCUGACCUUUUCUGGGCAAGGCGAUCAGAAUAAGUGAAAACCUUGGCCAAUUCCUAUCGCGCUCAAAACCGUCUGUUUUUGACCAAUCGCUCCAUUCCCAAACCUAUUCCGCUGCAUUCCACGCCAUAUCAAAAUGUUGUGCUGAGCUGUGAA